rnacentral:rRNA from 1 species
GAUUAACGCUGGCGGCGUGCAUAACACAUGCAAGUCGAACGAUGAAACUUAGUAAACUUCUUCGGAAAGACACUAAGCGGAUUAGUGGCGAACGGGUGAGUAACGCGUGAGUAACCUGCCUUACACAAGGGGAUAGCCUUUGGAAACGAAGAAUAAUACCCUAUAAAACCAUAAAAGCACAUGCUAGAAUGGUCAAAGUGAUAGCGGUGUAAGAUGGACUUGCGUCUGAUUAGCUAGUUGGUGAGAUAAAAGCUCACCAAGGCAACGAUCAGUAGCCGGCUUGAGAGAGUGUACGGCCACAUUGGGACUGAGACACGGCCCAGACUCCUACGGGAGGCAGCAGUGGGGAAUUUUGCACAAUGGGGGAAACCCUGAUGCAGCGACGCCGCGUGAUUUAGAAGGCCUUCGGGUUGUAAAAAUCUUUUGUAUAGGAAGAAAAUGACAGUACUAUACGAAUAAGGUCCGGCUAAUUACGUG